AACGCACAUUGCGCCCAUUAGUAUUCUAGUGGGCAUGCCUGUUCGAGCGUCAUUUCAACCCUUAAGCCUAGCUUAGUGUUGGGAGACUGCCUAAUACGCAGCUCCUCAAAACCAGUGGCAGAGUUUUUACGUACUCUGAGCGCAGUAGUUCUAUUCUCGCUUUUGAACACGUCUAGACGAUAGCCAUAAAUCGCUUGCCUCGUGCAGCACUAUUUUAAUGGUUGACCUCGGAUCAGGUAGGAAUACCCGCUGAACUUAA
rnacentral:misc_RNA from 1 species